AAGACAAUAUAAAUGGGAACAUCUUGCCUUAAAAAAAAAUAAUUAACAAAAUAGAACUAUAUGUUGAACUUUUAUGAUUAGGAUUGAAUUUUUUUGAGAACGUUUAAAAGUGCAUUUCAACGUAAGCCUCUUUAAUCUCUAAAGGAAAUCUAUACUAAGAGAAAUACCCAAAGAUGUCAUACUUUUGAAUAUAGACAAAAGCCGAAUGUGAUUGUUUACUAGACAGACGAUGGAAGUUAAUUGGUUUUACAACAGAUUGUCAAGUAUGUGCUUUCUUAUUAGAUGUACAUUAAUAUGGUAUUAAUCAUGUUUAUUUGAAAUAAGUAUGGAAUCUAAAAAUUGAUUACAGUUAGUAUGAUCUUUGAUCCAUUGGGACAUCUGCACGUUUUGUAUUUGUCUGCGCACAUUGUGCAUUCUUUUCCCUAAGCUGUACAGGACUGCAGAUGGUUUUGGUGCCUUAAAAAUACCAAUAUUAAUAUCUAAUAAUAAACAGACCUUUGGCUGACUAUUUCCCUAUUUCAAGUGGACUUGAUUGGCCUUUGUUUUUAUCAUUUUAUAUUUGUAUUAAUCUGCCCAUACUUUAUACAUAUUUUUUGUUUUUAUUCCAACUAUUCGCAAUACCGGACUUAUUCGAAGUAUUGUGUUUGUUUUACCAGUACGAAUUGUUGCCAGAUUCUCGUUAUUAAGUGCUGCUUGGGAGAUUUUUUGAAUAUAAUUAGUGCAUUUGACUCCACCAAGAAUGAUCUCCCAUAGAGUAUGCUUAAAAUCUUGGAUAUUUAUAUUAAGUUACAUCACUUUGAAAGUGAAGAUGAACUGUCACCCUAAUGAAAGAUAGAUUUGCGUGGUGGUGGUGGGUGUGUGUGUGUGUGUGUGUUUUUCCUCAGGUGGAUUUGGCUCUUAUAUAAACUCUGUCCCAGGGAACAAUCUAAUAUGAACCACUUGCCUGUAUUUAAGCAGAAAUAUUACGAUUCAAGCCUUUUUGAAUCUAGAAGUUGUAGUUUUAGUUAAGCACAUGCUUUUGUGUAUCCUCCCAUAAUCUACUUUGUACUGAAGAGAUGUCAAGCUGUUUUGUAUAUAGUGCUACUGAUGUUGAACAUUAGUACAUAUUACAAGACAAUGUUUCUUGCUAUUUGUAUGUAUACCUAGAAGGACAAACCUCUGUAUAUAUGUUGCCUAGAUGUUUCAAAAUUGGUUUGUGCUAUGUCUUGCAAUCUUGUAAGAUAAUCAAAGUGUGCAAUAAAUCUUCAUUAUACAUCACAAUGUUUUCUCUUUAAACAAUCCUCGUGGCUUUAUUAAACCAUCUGCACAUGAAACAUUCUUCGAUUUAAAAAAAAUUUGAUCAGUUGUGUAAUAUUUACAAAUCUGAUUAUGUAUAACCUGUUUAAGAAAUUCAAUUUUUUUAAUCAAUAGAGAUACUUUCACUGUAAAAUGAUUGUCACAUUUCUAGAAAUAAAGAUUUCUAUUUUUUUCCAUACAA